UACGGUCAUUGAAACACCCGUUCUCGUUCGAUCACCGAAGUUAAGCAACGCCAAGCCUGGUUAGUAACUAGAUGGGUGGCAGCUUAGGAAUACCACCUGCUGUAA